CUACGGGAUGCAGCAGUAGGGAAUAUUGGACAAUGGGCGAAAGCCUGAUCCAGCAACACCGCGUGCACGAUGACGGCCUUCGGGUUGUAAAGUGCUUUUAGAGGAGAUGAGAAAGGACAGUAUCCUCUGAAUAAGCCUCGGCGAACUACGUGCCAGCAGCCGCGGUAAAACGUAGGAGGCAAGCGUUAUCCGGAUUUAUUGGGCGUAAAGCGCGUGCAGGCGGUCUAGCAAGUGGGAUGUGAAAGCUCCCGGCUCAACUGGGAGAGGUCGUUCAAUACUGUUAGACUAGAGAAUAGGAGAGGGAGGUGGAAUUCCGGGUGUAGUGGUGAAAUGCGUAGAUAUCCGGAGGAACACCAGUGGCGAAAGCGGCCUCCUGGACUAUUUCUGACGCUAAGACGCGAAAGCUAGGGUAGCAAACGGGAUUAGAUACCCCCGUAGUC
rnacentral:rRNA from 1 species